AAUAACUAAUGCAGCUCUCAUUGACAGUAGUGGAAGUUUUAUGCCUGAAUUUGCAUGUGCUGGGAUGAAAACACACCACAUGGAGAAGGCAGGAAGGUGAGAAAUGGAGUUGGAAUGAAUGAAUGGAUAAACUGAAUAGCUUGAAAUUACCAGGGAUUCCUCAGCCUGAUCAUGAACAGCUUCUCUGCCUUAAAAGAGAACACGAGCCUUUCUCCGAGGCGCAGCUUCCGAAUCGCGGUCACCGAGUAGGCAUGGCCAACAACGAGCCCCAUCUCUGUCUCCACCUCACUGGCACGGCCAGAGGACACCUUGAGCACCAAGAAUGACAAUUAAAAAGUGGAACUCACAUCACUGAGGGCUUUGACAGCUACGAGUUCAAGGGACAAGACAAGGAGGGUUUGUUUUCCAUUCCCUUCCCAAGUGAUUUGACUGUCCAGGAAAACAACAGCACUGGUACUUAUAACUAAUGGCUCGCUGUCCUGAUGUUGUGCAGGAUAGUGCUGGACAGUUCCUAGCAGGCAGAAGCCCAGAGCUUAGGGGAAUGCUGCCUGCUAGAGCCGUUUUGUCUCUUCCUGGUCUCAAGAGUUAGACUUCCAAAAUCUUGUAAUCUUUACGAAAUUGCUCUUCUGGGUAUUAGUGACUCUGCUCAGGCUAUCUGGUGGUAUCCUCAGCUGGACAUUCCAUAGGGCCUAAGAAUUGAACUCAUGAGUCCAAUGGCUGUUUCUGUGUUGGAGUCAAUUUGAUAUCCCAGAACAACUACUGCUGGUGGAUAAAAAUAGAGGUCAUGGGCAAUAAACCUUUCUAUUCAUUUGUCAAACCUGUCCUGUACCUCUCUUCCCUGGCAACAGGUAGAUCUUCAGGUUUAUUUAGGAGCUGGGUUUGCUCCUCAUAAACUUCAUGCAAGCAGCCUAGUUUCCAGCAGUGAACAGGCAGUAAACUGUCCUGCUGGAUGACCUGGGCCUGGCCAGAAGCUGAUCUAAGAAUACAUAAAAACUGUCAAGUUCUGAAAAACACGACAAUUUCAUUUAAUGAAUCCAGAACUCCUAAUCUAAACCCAGAAAAGCAGUGUCAUGUAAAGGUGCUGGAUUUGCAUUGAAGGACUGGCCCUUCACAAAGCCAGCACAAUGCUGCUUCUGAGCAACACAGACCAGGCAGGACAGCAGACAAAAUAAAGCUGUGUCAGUGUUAUAACCCUUCUUCUGAGCCAGGAAGGGCCCAAAUGAUCCGGCCUCUGGCUUCUUCACACCCUCACUGGAGCCACCACGGGCAUUCUUGCACUAAACCACAGCUAGAGAUUCUCUCAUCUGUAUUGGACUAGAACCCGUUGGGCCUGAAGACACUCACUCCCCUGGACAGCAAGGAAGGAAGAUUUGACUCAGUGCAGAUCCUUGUGUGUAAACUUGUAAUAACCUAAUUAAUGAUCAAUCAAGCCUUUGCUGUGACAAAGAGAGCAAGAGUUAUGGACUCUUGGUGCCAUUAAUGUAAAUAUUUAAAUAUAAAUAUAUUUAUUGUUUAUCAUUAUACAGCAAUAAUUAUUAUAAAGAUAUAAAUAUUUCCAUAUAAACAAGGACUUAUCAGAGUUGUGGAAUGCACAUGGUACUUUCUCAGACAUUUUUGCCCAUUUGAAAAUUUAACUGGUCUAAACAGACAAGGUCCUUCUCCUAAAGCGAGUGUUGCACUGAUACAAGAGUGUUCAUUCCCUAAAGGUAAGGAAAAAAAAAAAAAAAAG